CCUACGGGAGGCAGCAGUGAGGAAUAUUGGUCAAUGGCCGGGAGGCUGAACCAGCCAAGUCGCGUGAGGGAAGACGGCCCUACGGGUUGUAAACCUCUUUUGUCAGGGAGCAAGGUGCAGGUCGGGACCUGCUGUGAGAGUACCUGAAGAAAAAGCAUCGGCUAACUCCGUGCCAGCAGCCGCGGUAAUACGGAGGAUGCGAGCGUUAUCCGGAUUUAUUGGGUUUAAAGGGUGCGCAGGCGGAGGCACAAGUCAGCGGUAAAAUCGCGGGGCUCAACCCCGCUCCGCCGUUGAAACUGUGUCCCUUGAGUGCGCGAAGGGUAGGCGGAAUGCGUGGUGUAGCGGUGAAAUGCUUAGAUAUAACUUAGAACUCCGAUAGCGAAGGCAGCUUACCAGACUGCGACUGACGCUGAAGCACGAGAGCGUGGGUAGCGAACAGGAUUAGAUACCCCAGUAGUC
rnacentral:rRNA from 1 species